rnacentral:lncRNA from 1 species
CAAACAUUCCAAAAAAUAAAAAAGUGCUUAAAAACUGACCUUCAAACACCCUCAUAGUCGUAGCACCUUUGCCCUUUGCUUGGCCCGAUGUCGUUCUGCCUACAAUGUGCCUUAGUCGUGCUUUUCGACGUCACUCUUGCCGACGCAUCGAAUGUCGAGGAAGAAAUAUGGAGUGAGCUAUAUUAUCCUCGUUGCCCGAUUACGUAAGUGGAAUGCUAGUUAGUUCGAUUGCGAUGGUCAGGUUUUGAUCAAUACAAACUAUUUAAGAACAAUGCAGUAUGUUGGGCUGUACAGCUGUACUUCCCUGUAAAAUUCUCUUCAAUUUUGCAGCCUCUUAUACAAAGAAGAUGGUGUUUG